GUACUCACUUCAGCAGUAUAUACACUAAAAUUAGAACCACAGAGAUUAGUAUGGCACCUGCACAAGGAUGGCAUGGAAAUUAAUGAAUUGUUCUGUAGUUUU